GACCGCGUAGUUCAGUUGGCAGAGCAUUGGGCUAGUAUUCCAAAGGUCGUAGGUUCGAUUCCCAUCGUGGCCG
rnacentral:tRNA from 1 species